rnacentral:rRNA from 1 species
AUUGAACGCUGGCGGCAGGCCUAACACAUGCAAGUCGAGCGGUAACACAGAGGAGCUUGCUCCUUGGGUGACGAGCGGCGGACGGGUGAGUAAUGCCUGGGGAUCUGCCCGAUAGAGGGGGAUAACUACGGGAAACUGUAGCUAAUACCGCAUAAUGUCUACGGACCAAAGUGGGGGCUCUUCGGACCUCAUGCUAUCGGAUGAACCCAGGUGGGAUUAGCUAGUUGGUGAGGUAAUGGCUCACCAAGGCGACGAUCUCUAACUGGUUUGGGAGAAUGACCAGUCACACUGGAACUGAGACACGGUCCAGACUCCUACGGGAGGCAGCAGUGGGGAAUAUUGCACAAUGGGCGCAAGCCUGAUGCAGCCAUGCCGCGUGUGUGAAGAAGGCCUUCGGGUUGUAAAGCACUUUCAGCGGGGAGGAAGGGCCACUAGUUAAUACCUAGUGGCAUUGACGUUACUCGCAGAAGAAGCACCGGCUAACUCCGUGCCAGCCGCCGCGGUAAGAC